rnacentral:rRNA from 1 species
UACAGAGGGGGCAAGCGUUAUUCGGAAUUAUUGGGCGUAAAGGGCGCGUAGGCGGUUUGACAAGUCUGAUGUGAAAUCUAUGGGCUCAACCCAUAGCCUGCAUUAGAAACUGUCGGGCUUGAGUAUGGGAGAGGUGAGUGGAAUUUCCGGUGUAGCGGUGAAAUGCGUAGAUAUCGGAAGGAACACCUGUGGCGAAAGCGGCUCACUGGACCAUAACUGACGCUGAGGCGCGAAAGCUAGGGGAGCAAACAGG